CCUACGGGUGGCAGCAGUGGGGAAUAUUGCACAAUGGGGGAAACCCUGAUGCAGCGACGCCGCGUGAGUGAAGAAGUAUCUCGGUAUGUAAAGCUCUAUCAGCCGGGAAGAAAAUGCCGGUACCUGACUAAGAAGCCCCGGCUAACUACGUGCCAGCAGCCGCGGUAAUACGUAGGGGGCAAGCGUUAUCCGGAUUUACUGGGGGUAAAGGGAGCGUAGACGGUAGAACAAGUCUGCGGUGAAACUCCGGGGGCUAACCCCGGAACUGCUGUGGAAACUGUGUGGCUGGAGUGCAGGAGGGGUAAGCGGAAUGCGUGGUGUAGCGGUGAAAUGCGUAGAUAUUAGGAGGAACACCGGUGGCGAAGGCGGCUUACUGGACUGUAACUGACGUUGAGGCUCGAAAGCGUGGGGAGCGAACAGGAUUAGAUACCCCUGUAGUC
rnacentral:rRNA from 1 species